CCAUCUUUGCCUUUCCUGAGCACUUGCUAACUCUGGGCUUCCAGUCACAUGAGGAAACAGAUUGUACUCUUUAAGCUAUUUUGAAUUGUGUUUUCUAUCAUUUAGAGCCCAAGUCAUUCUAACUGACAGAGGUAUGAUUUUAAGAAUGGAUUUACAUGAGGCUCACUCCAACACUAAUUCUUUCAAUAGGUAAUUUUUGAGCCCCUGCUUUGUACCAGGGGCUCUAGGUAAUUGAAAUACACCAGUGAACAAAAUGGACAGAGAUCUCUGUCUUCAUGUGGCUUAUAUUUCAGCAGGGAGAGACAGACAAUAAAAAAAGGACAUGUAGGUACGUAAAGGGCAUAGUAUGUUUGGGGUUAAAUGCCAUGAACAGGGCCAGGAACAUAGUAGGCCACAGACAAUGUUGUAAAGACGUUGGCUUUCACUCUAAAUGAAAUGGGAAGGCACUGGAGGAUUAGAGCCCAGAGCCAUAAUUCUCUGACAGUUGAGAAAUUGUGAAGGAGGAAAGUCACACUUUUUUGGGAGCUGACUUGCAUUGUCAGGGUCAGGAGGCAGACCACCAUGAAACAAAUGAGAUGCCUGAUAGCCCUUUCAGGUAGUCCAGCCUGGGUAUGUGGAAUAAAAGCAGAUAUUGCCUUUUCUUACUUAAGAACACUAGUGAGUUCUAUCAAUUGGCAACUUGGCCUUUAAAUUCACUACCUUUGAGAGCUUUUUAUAUUGCGCGUUUACCAAUUUAGGGAGUUGAACACUGGGCUUGUGGGAGAAGUCCCUGAUAUAGAAGACAGAAAAGAAUUUCAUCUUGGGCAUUGCUGUCUACAUUGUUCUUUGACUUUAUAUUUAUAGUAUUAGACCUAUUUACUCCUCUUCCUUACAGUGCCCUAGUGAGGAAAGCCUACUUUCAUAGUCUCAACUCUCAGAUAAGAAACUCUAUCAUCUAUCAUCUAUCUAUCAUCUAUUUAUUUAUUUUAAAAUUUAUUUAUUUGAGAGAGACGGGGGUGGGGCAGAGAGAAGAGGAGAGAGUCCCAGGCAGACCCUCUGCUGAGCAUGAAGUCUGAUGUGGGGCUCGAACCCAUGAUCUUGAGAUCAUGACCUGAACCAAAACCAAGAGUUGGCGGCUCAACCGACUACGUCAUCCAGGUGCCCCCAGGUAAGGAGCUUUAAACAUAGUAAAGAUCACUUUCAAUUACCAAGUGGCAUCAGAAGUUCUCUAGAUCCCAGUUAUUAUCUUUCUUUAUAGGUUAUAUAGGACUCCUGACCCAUGCAGGGUGUCCUGUCAUAGUAUGAGGCACCCUGGUCCCCCUUCUCUAUGUCAGGGUUGUGGCAUGUUUUAGCGAUUGAUCAAACUCUACUGUGGGAAAUAGAGGAAUGGUGACAUGUUAGUUCAAAUAGGCAAAGUCAGAGUGAAUGCCCAGCAUUAAAAAUACAGAUUUUCAGGACUUUUCACUGUCAAGUAGGGCUCAGCAGCUCCUCCCCUGCCUCUUACCAACGAUUUUUAUGUCUACCUGUUAGGACUCAGAUUUUAGCCUCAAAUACAGUUUUCUGCUAAAAGGAACCAGGGCAGUUUGGAGAGUGGUGAUGGCAGAGACUGCUAGUUCCCACUGUAACUGGUGUGUCCUUUAGCAGGUUUGGAGCUGGGGUCAUGACCCCGCUAUGUUCUCCAGACUCCCCUGCAGUUGGAUGGAGCCACGUGACUCAUUCUUAUUGCAGGACAUGGCACACAUGACACACACCUCCUCAAGGCAUGAGGAGACCUUUGUUAGUAGAGACCAUUGCUCUGGUGAUUCUGCCUGCAACUAUUGUUUCUUUAAUUGCUUUAAGCAAAUGCAUGCAGUUGAGGACACUUCUUUCGAGGACAUAGUGACUGGUUUCGUCUCUUAGAGGUUUUUGAAUCACCAAAGAGUCCCAGUAAAUGAUAUUUUCUUGCUUUGGAAACCUUUGAAAAUGAGUUCCACAUAACUAGAGCAUGGAGGAAAAGAACAGAAAGAAACUGGGAAAGAGUUUCUAAUUUUACUUUCCGUCCACUUCCAUCUUUACCAAAAGGUCAAACUUCUGAUGAAAACCUAGCCCUGGCCAACACCUUCAUCAAAGCCUUGGGAUACCCUAAUUAGGCAGAAGACCCAGCGAAGUUGUACCUGGAUUCCUGGCUCACUGAAACUAACAGUGCGGCCCAAGAUGUUUCUGUAAUGAUAGAAAUGUUCUACUUCUGAGCUGUCCAAUACAGAAGCCAUGAAGCCACAUAUGAUUAGUAAGCACUUGAACUGUGGCUAUGGGCAAGUAUUACCACCACUCAACCUGGAACCUGAGAGACUCAAGGACUGGCCUGUUGUUCUGGAACCAACAGGAAAGAAGAAGAAGAAGAAAAAGAAGAAGGAGAAGGAGAAGGAGAAGGAGAAGGAGAAG